rnacentral:rRNA from 1 species
AACGAACGCUGGCGGCAGGCUUAACACAUGCAAGUCGAGCGCAUCCUUCGGGAUGAGCGGCAGACGGGUGAGUAACGCGUGGGAACCUACCCUGAGGUUCGGAACAACCGCUGGAAACGGCGGCUGAUACCGGAUGAGCCCGAGAGGGGAAAGAUUAAUCGCCUUGGGAUGGGCCCGCGUCGGAUUAGGUAGUUGGUAGGGUAAUGGCCUACCAAGCCGACGAUCCGUAGCUGGUCUGAGAGGAUGACCAGCCACACUGGGACUGAGACACGGCCCAGACUCCUACGGGAGGCAGCAGUGGGGAAUAUUGGACAAUGGGCGCAAGCCUGAUCCAGCCAUGCCGCGUGAGUGAUGAAGGCCUUAGGGUUGUAAAGCUCUUUCGCCGGUGAAGAUAAUGACGGUAACCGGAGAAGAAGCCCCGGCUAACUUCGUGCCAGCCGCCGCGGUAACAC